GUGACUAAUAACCGAAUGAACGACAACUUAAAAAAAGUCAAUAUGGAACCCUAAAACUGAUUCUCUCUCCCUCUCGCUUUUCAUCGCUCUUUUCUUUUCCUCCUCAAGCAGCACCUCAGCCUUCUUCAUGCCACAAAUGAUAAUAGACUACAACCAUUCUCCCUCCCUAAGAAGAGUACAAGAAGAUGACUUUUUCUCAUUAAACAACUAAUUAAAGCUUCUCUCACUGGCUCAAUUCUUUGUGGUUUCUUGAACGAGAUGUCUUCUCAAGAUGAAACACCUAGUACAUUGCAUGUUGAUGAUGGAAGUUCGCAACCUCAAGAUACAGCAGUAACAACUGCAAGAGGAAAGCGAAGAGCAAUAGCUCCAAGAUCGAAUGUGUGAGAUCACUUCUCUAAAUUCAAAGAUGUAAAAGGGGAUGUUAAAGGCAAGUGCAACCAUUGUGGUAAGGAAUUUUAUUGUGAUUUUAGAAGAAAUGGCACUAUCGCACUUAAAAAUUACAUGAAUGCAUGCAAGAGAAAUCCUUCUAGUGUAGAAUCAAGACAAACACAAUUGAAUUUUCAACCGGUUAGCAUUCUUAAUACUUGGAAAUUUGAUCAAGAAGCAAUAAGAAAUGCCUUAAUUUUUAUGAUCAUUGUUGAUGAAUUGCCUUUUAAGUUUGUUGAACAUGAGGGUUUUAGACAAUUUAUGUGUAUAUGUUGUCCUCAAUUUUGGAUUCCAUCGAGAUGGACAGUGCAUGUGAUUGCUUUUGAUCUUUAUGUAAAUGAAAAAGCUCAUUUGAGAUCCAUCUUGCAAAGCAAAAAUCAAAGGUUUUGUCUUACCACUGA